GAUGAACGCUAGCGACAGGCUUAACACAUGCAAGUCGAGGGGCAGCAUGAGGUAGCAAUACCUUGAUGGCGACCGGCGCACGGGUGAGUAACGCGUAUGCAACCUGCCCGAUACCGGGGUAUAGCCCAUGGAAACGUGGAUUAACACCCCAUAGUACUUUUAUCCUGCCUGGGAUGGGAGUUAAAUGUUCAAGGUAUCGGAUGGGCAUGCGUCCUAUUAGUUAGUUGGCGGGGUAACAGCCCACCAAGACGAUGAUAGGUAGGGGUUCUGAGAGGAAGGUCCCCCACAUUGGAACUGAGACACGGUCCAAACUCCUACGGGGGGCAGCAGUGAGGAAUAUUGGUCAAUGGACGUAAGUCUGAACCAGCCAAGUCGCGUGAGGGAAGACUGCCCUAUGGGUUGUAAACCUCUUUUAUAAGGGAAGAAUAAGUUCUACGUGUAGAAUGAUGCCUGUACCUUAUGAAUAAGCAUCGGCUAACUCUGUGCCAGCCGCCGCGGUAAGAC
rnacentral:rRNA from 1 species